rnacentral:tRNA from 1 species
AGGUGAGUAGUGUAGUGGCUUGAGUGUUGGACUAGGACUCUGGAGACCAGGGGUUGAAUCCCUGCUCAGCUA